rnacentral:tRNA from 1 species
CCCCCGGUGGCUAAUGGAAACCGGCACACCUACCUGCCUUAGAAGCAGGGCUCUUGCGAGUUCGAAUCUCGCCUGGGGGACCA